AGGGAACUGUUUCACUUUCAUCUUCCUGCCGGCCCAGGGCUGCACUCGGUGACUGCUCUUCGUCAAAUUCCUUCUUAAACAGUGGUCAAGUAUUCUUCCGGUGCAGCUGUUAUUUUCGGGUCCUGUAUUCUGCUUUGUGCUGACCCUGUAAUCUCAGCAGUACCCAUUCGCCUAGCAGGGCUUCGGGAUGCUUCCCCGACUCUCCUCGCACCUUCACACCAACGCACUCCGGGAAUGUUUCUGAUGGGUGUCAAGUCCACUCUCUGAUGAACGGACUCGUGCUUUGAGAGCAUCUUCAGGGUCAGUGCAUCCAGUGACCGUUUCAUGACACCGUUUGCCUCGAGCGCCACCGCCUGGCCAAAACUGGAACGACCUGUGCCCGUUGCUGAGGAGGAAAAACACCCGGGAUGGAAUUUCUAGUUUUUGUGCAAUCCUCAUCCUUUUCCAUUUUCUGUAAAGUGACGAUGACAGAUAUUUUCGCUUACUAAUGCAAGUAUUUUUCAUCUGAAUAAAUAUACCAAUUUCUCUGGCAAUAAUUUGGGUUUAAAAAUACUGAGGCUGGCCCGGCACAGUGGCUCACACCUGUAAUCCCAGCACUUUGGGAGGCCAAGGCGGGCGGAUCACGAGGUCAGGAGUUCGAGACCAUCCUGGCCAACAUGGUGAAACCCCGUCUCUACUAAAAAUACAAAAAUUAGCCGGGUUUGGUGGCGUGCGCCUGUAAUCCCAGCUACUCGCGAGGCUGACGCAGGAUAAUCGCUUGAACCCGGGAGGUGGAGGUUGCAGUGAGCCGAGAUUGUGCCACUGCAUUCCAGCCUGGGCGACAGAGCGAGACUGCGU
rnacentral:lncRNA from 1 species